rnacentral:lncRNA from 10 species
CAAGACACGGCCAAAUAUCAGUACAAAGCUAACUGGGACCCUUGGUGACCCAAGGUAACUCGGGGUGACAUUUCAUUUUGCUGGAAGAAGAAUAUGUGUUUAACAUGUAUGAUAGUUCUGAACGAAGAUUGAAGCUGUUCUGUAGUUCUGAGGGUUAUCAUACCACUGAGAGUAAAAGGAGUCCACUGGGCAUGGUGUCAUGUGCCUAUAAUCCCAGCUACUCAGGAGGCUGAGGCAGGAGGAUUGCUUGAGACCAGGAGUUUGAGGCCAGCCUGCACAACAUAGCAAGACCCCGUCUCAACAACAACAACAACAACAACAACAACAACAACAACA